rnacentral:rRNA from 1 species
UACGAAGGGGCUAGCGUUGCUCGGAAUCACUGGGCGUAAAGCGCACGUAGGCGGCUUUUAAGUCAGAGGUGAAAUCCUGGAGCUCAACUCCAGAACUGCCUUUGAUACUGGAGAGCUGAGUCCGGGAGAGGUGAGUGGAACUGCGAGUGUAGAGGUGAAAAUUCGUAGAUAUUCGCAAGAACACCAGUGGCGAAGGCGGCUCACUGGCCCGGUACGUGACGCUGAGGUGCGAAAGCGAUGGGGA